UGAUGUCACUGUCAAUAAUCCUGCCUCUAAAUAAUAUGUGUUUCGUUUUUGUUUCUAAUUCGCAUUGACAUUUUGUAUUUCGUUGGCAUUCCGGUUUCAAAAAACACAAUUUCAAAAAGUUACAAAAAGAAAAAAUCCAAAUUCUUUUCACAAAAUGCAAAGCAUAACGCAGAGAAAACUUUGCAUCUUCACCUUUGGUUUGUUUGUUGGAUAUAUUAUUUCGCCGAGGAGACGCUAAGAGGAAUACAAAAUUUUCCAUUGAACUCUAAACAGAACGUAAAACUAAAUCAAUUCUUACUUACGGAGUGGUCCAAGCAAUUCCUUAUUAAAACUUUACAAGCAAGUUACGUUAGUUAACGGUGAAACCGCUUUGGAAUGACCGAGCCGUUGAUCACUUUUUGUUUGGGCACUUUGGCUGGCGUGAUAUUGGUUAAUUUUCUACAAGGAAAUCAUCUGGAAGGAAACAGAAUGCUUGCAGAUCGCCUGAUAAUAUUUAUAUUUGGUGUUGCCAUUGGCUACUUUAUUGUGCCGAAAUUGUGAUUUUCAUGUCAAGAUAAAUUCAAAAAUGUAAUCAAUUAUAAAAGCAACAACAAUAUGACAAUAAAAUUUCAUUUACGUAAUUAGGAAAAGUUUUGAGUUUGUGCUAAUUACAUUUAGCAUUGCAAUUGAAAUGCUCCGAGUCGUUAAGAAUGAAAAAUAAAUGCUGAACUAAACGUUUACAAAUUUGAUACUGGUUUUGUUGUAGUUUCGGAGAAUAAAGCUGAGCUGGCAGUAAUUGGCCACAUAUUCAUUGACGCAAGAGUUUUCCACGUAUCCACACAAAAAAAUGUAAAAAAGUUUACAGCAUUAAAUUGAAUAAUCAAAGUAAAUGUCAAUGCCUAAAACUUCUAAAUAUUUUGUGUGAAAAUCUGUUGAAACUUUUAAGCAGAACUCUAACCAAAUCUGGACCUGUAUUUGACGUUCUUUCUUGGAAUCAUGGAUAGAAUUAUUUUGUUCAGCCUUGGCGUCUUAGUGGGUUACUAUAUCUUGAGAAGAAUGUAAUUUGUGGCAUAAGCAUAAAUAUAAUGGAAUAAAUUUAAAAAAAUAAUAUUGCUGUGUGCCUGUUUUGAAAGAAUAAUGUGCUCAUUUUUGUUUUAUGUAAAGAGGAGAUUAAAAAUUUGCUGUUAAAAUAUCAUAAAUAAAUAUUUUUUAACAUU